GACGAACGCUGGCGGCGCGCCUAACACAUGCAAGUCGAACGAGCGAGAGAGAGCUUGCUUUCUCGAGCGAGUGGCGAACGGGUGAGUAACGCGUGAGGAACCUGCCUCAAAGAGGGGGACAACAGUUGGAAACGACUGCUAAUACCGCAUAAGCCCACGGUGCCGCAUGGCACAGAGGGAAAAGGAGCAAUCCGCUUUGAGAUGGCCUCGCGUCCGAUUAGCUAGUUGGUGAGGUAAUGGCCCACCAAGGCGACGAUCGGUAGCCGGACUGAGAGGUUGAACGGCCACAUUGGGACUGAGACACGGCCCAGACUCCUACGGGAGGCAGCAGUGGGGAACAUUGCACAAUGGGGGAAACCCUGAUGCAGCGACGCCGCGUGGAGGAAGAAGGUCUUCGGAUUGUAAACUCCUGUUGUUGGGGAAGAUAAUGACGGUACCCAACAAGGAAGUGACGGCUAACUACGUG
rnacentral:rRNA from 1 species